AUUGAACGCUGGCGGCAGGCCUAACACAUGCAAGUCGAGCGGAUGAACGGAGCUUUCUCCUGUAUUCAGCUGCGGACGGGUGAGUAAUUCCUAGGAAUCUGCCUUGUAUUUGGGGAUAACGUCCGUAAACGGACGCUAAUAUCGCAUCCGUCCUUAUGUAGAACGGCGUGGAUCUUCGGAGCUCGCGCUUUCUGCUGAGCCUAGGUCGGAUUAGCUAGUUGGUUGGGUAAAGGCCUACCAAGGCGACGAUCCGUAACUGGUCUGAGAGGAUGAUCAGUCACACUGGAACUGAGACACGGUCCAGACUCCUACGGGAGGCAGCAGUGGGGAAUAUUGGACAAUGGGCGAAAGCCUGAUCCAGCCAUGCCGCGUGUGUGAAGAAGGUCUUCGGAUUGUAAAGCACUUUAAGUUGGGAGGAAGGGAAGUAAGUUAAUACCUUGCUGUUUUGACGUUACCAAAAGAAUAAGCACCGGCUAACUUCGUG
rnacentral:rRNA from 1 species